rfam:Macrostomum lignano uti_cns_0003288, whole genome shotgun sequence.
AAAACGGCCCUUUUCAGGGCCACCACAUUAAGAUGAUGUAGUCGUGU